AUUGAACGCUGGCGGCAGGCCUAACACAUGCAAGUCGAACGAGUGGCGGACGGGUGAGUAAUGUUUGGGACUCUAGCUUAUGGAGGGGGAUAACUACGGGAAACUGUAGCUAAUACCGCGUACCAUAGGAUGAGCCCAAGGGGGAGUCGGUAGUUGGGGAGGUAAAGGCUAACCAAGCCGACGAUCUCUAGCUGGUCUGAGAGGAUGACCGGCCACACUGGGACUGAGACACGGCCCAGACUCCUACGGGAGGCAGCAGUGGGGAAUAUUGCGCAAUGGGGGCAAGCUGUCGCAGCCAUGCCGCGUGAAUGAAGAAGGUCUUCGGGUUGUAAAGUUCUUUCAGUAGCGAGGCGUUAACUACAGAGGAAGCACCGGCUAACUCCGUGCCAGCAGCCGCGGUAAUAC
rnacentral:rRNA from 1 species